CACCGCCUGGGGAGUACGACCGCAAGGUUAAAACUCAAAUGAAUUGACGGGGACCCGCACAAGUAGUGGAGCAUGUGGUUUAAUUCGAAGAUACGCGCAGAACCUUACCAACACUUGACAUGUUCGUCGCGACUCUAAGAGAUUAGAGUUUUCGGUUCGGCCGGACGAAACACAGGUGCUGCAUGGCUGUCGUCAGCUCGUGUCGUGAGAUGUUGGGUUAAGUCCCGCAACGAGCGCAACCCUCACUUUUAGUUGCCAUCAUUUAGUUGGGCACUCUGAAAGAACUGCCAGUGAUAAGCUGGAGGAAGGUGGGGAUGACGUCAAGUCCUCAUGGCCCUUACGUGUUGGGCUACACACGUGCUACAAUGGUAUCUACAACAGGAAGCAAGACUGCGAGGUCAAGCAAAUCCUUAAAAGAUACCUCAGUUCGGAUUGCACUCUGCAACUCGAGUGCAUGAAGCUGGAAUUACUAGUAAUCGUGGAUCAGCGUGCCACGGUGAAUGCGUUCCCGGGUCUUGUACACACCGCCCGUCACACCAUGGGAGUUGGUUCUACCUUAAGGCAAGGUCUAAAACCCUUGACCACGGUAUAGUCAGCGACUGGGGUGAAGUCGUAACAAGGUAGCCGUAGGGGAACCUGCGGCUGGAUUACCUCCUUUCUAAGGAUGAAUAAAAGUAAAAUUUUAUUCUAAAUAAUAUACAGGUAAUGUUGACCGUCCUCAUUUCUCUUCUUAAAGUAGUGUUUCUCUUGCAUGGGGGCCGGUAGCUCAGUUGGUUAGAGCACACCCUUGAUAAGGGUGGGGUCGAAAGUUCGAGUCUUUCUCGGCCCACCAAUUUAAGAUCAUGGGGGAUUAGCUCAGCUGGGAGAGCGCCUGAUUUGCAUUCAGGAGGUCAGCGGUUCGAUCCCGCUAUCCUCCACCAAAACACUUAGUUAUAAAAAUCGUAAAUAAAUAAUAAUUAAUAUCAAUAUCUAUAUCCGAACAUUAGUAAUGUUAUUAGCUAAUGUUCAAAAAUAAAAAUUUGAUUCAACACAGAAUUUUUUUCUG
rnacentral:sRNA from 1 species